GAGUGAGAGUCCCUCCCUGUUUAUCUGGAGCUCUGCAAUCUUUCUUAAAAUGCCCAGGCUUUCCGCAAUUAAAACAUGUCCUCUGAUUAUUUCUGCCCAUGGAGCGGUUCUGAGAUUGGAGGAUGGCGGCCGCUAAGCCUGCAUUGGUGAGAGGUCCCCCAAGCUCUCGACAGACCCUGAGCCAGUCUUGUAAGCCUUUGUUCUUUCUUGGGGCUAUGGCCGCUCGGCACUCCUUUGUGGCUUGCUCAUAGAUUAGCUGUUCUAUCAGAGGCGCAGCUUGCUCUGACUCUCCAAAAAUACGCUCUGCUGCCUCUGUCAUUCUGGUCACAAAAUCUGAGAAGGAUUCCUGAGGUCCCUGGACAACUUUUGUUAAUUGACCAGUGGUUUCACCUGCUCGGGAGAGCGCCUUCCAGGCCCUAAUAGCCGUGGAAGAAAUCUGGGCAUAAGCUCCCCAAUGGUAGUUUGUUUGAUCAGCAGAAUAAGCUCCCUGACCCGUUAACAAGUCAAAAGUCCAAUCUCUCUGCUCUGGAGUCAAAGCAGCUGCGUUUGCUCGGGCCUGCGCUUGUGCAGUUUCAUGCCAAAGAGCUCUCCAUUCCAUAUAUUUGCCCAUACUAGGGAGAGCGGCUUUUACAACCGUUUGCCAGUCGGCAGGAGUUAGUGCCAUGCCGGCAAGCCUGUCUAACUGCACCAAGGUAAAAUUAGCAUUGGUUCCGUAUUUACGGACCGACUCGGCGAGUUCUUUAAUUUGUAAGUAUUCUACCGGAGCGUGGACACGCCCACCCUCGGCUCCUUCAAAGACUGGAAAUGCCUGUUGUAUUUUCCUUUGUUCCUCUCUGGGAAUGAAUGAGUCUGCGCACUGCCUCUCUGCGCACUGCCUCUCUGCGCAUCUCUCUGCGCAUUGCCUCUCUGCGCAUUGCUGACGCACUACGCAGGGCGGGGGCUCCGCAUAGGGCGGACCUUGAAGCCGACUGCCCUGAGGCCAAUCAGCAAACUGGCCUUCGCCAGCCGCUUUUGGCUUCCUUAACUGAUUAGCUAGCACUUUACCUGGCUGGUACCCUUUUUUCUCAUAAUGAGCUGCUUCUUCCUCCCAGUCUGUUUCUUCAGAGGAGAAUUCUUCAUCUGCUUCAGAGCUACUAAGAGCUGGCUCCCCGAGCCCAUCCAGCGAUGAGCACAGGCUCCUUUUCCUAGAGACCUCCGCUAAUUGAUCUUUCUUCUUUUCCCUUUUUCCUCUUUUUCUUCUAAUCUCUCUCCAGGUAUUCCUACCUAACCUUAACUUUUCCUCGGGUUCAAGACCCUUGGAAAGGCCUGUAUGCUUAUUUUGUGUACCAUAUUUUCUCUUUGCUCCUACUCUCUCUCCCCGCUUUACUUCUGAUAGAUUGUCCUGAAUUUCAUCUAGAAUCCGCCCUGCCUUAACCACUUGAUAACAUGUGAAAAGGAACAAAAGGGCUUCUAACAUUAGAAAAAAUUCAAGGCCAAAUAUACCUUGUAAAGCCAUUUCCCACUUUACUUCUGAUAGACUGUCUUGAAUUUCGUUAGAAAGUUCAAGAUCAGACUUACCUCGUAAAGCUGUACUCACUGGUACUCUCGUUCCCCAGCUGAAAAGUUCUGAAUUCAUACAGUUGAAUCCUUCUUAACAGUCUGCUUUACGGGAACCUUUAUUACCGCGACCCGCAGUUCUGGUUCUGGAAUGAGGGAUCUUCCUUGCGCCAGUCCCGAGUUUUUUUCUCGUCCCGGGUUUCGGCACCAAUUGUUAUUAGACGCGUUCUCACGACCGGCCAGGAAAGACGCAACAGACCAGAAUCUUCUGCGGCAAAGCUUUAUUGCUUACAUCUUCAGGAGCCAGAGUGCAAGAAGCAAGAGCGAGAGAAAACGAAACCCCGUCCCUUUUUUAGGAGAGUUAUAUUUCGCCUAGGACGUGUCACUCCCUGAUUGGCUGCAGCCCAUCGGCCGAGUUGACGUCACGGGGAAGGCAGAGCACAUGGAGUGGAGAACCACCCUCGGCAUAUGCGCAGAUUAUUUGUUUACCACUUAGAACACAGCUGUCAGCGCCAUCUUGUAACGGCGAAUGUGGGCGCGGCUCCCAACAUCAGAGAGAUGGCCCAGUGGCAGAGCAGCACCACCCACUCUGCACUCUGCAUGUGGCAGCUUACAACUAUCUGCAGCUCCAAAUACAGGAAACCCAAGGCCCUCUUCUAUCUUCCAUAGGUACAAGGAAUGCACAUGGUACACAGACGUGCAUGCAAGCAAAACACUCAUAUGCAUAAAAUAAAAUUAAAAUUAAAUAUACAGAAAAAUAUAGAUAUAUUGUAGCCAGUACAUGUAUAAUUCUGGCUCAAACAGUGGAGGCAGUAAGGUCACCAGUUCAAGGACAGCACAGGCUACAUAACAAGACCCUGUCUCAGACCCUAGCAACAGGAGCUUGAUAAACUGUCAUAGCCCAGCAAGGACCAGGUAAGGCCGCCUCCUAUCCUGAUCACCUGCAAUCUCUCAAGAAAUGUAUCUCACCAGCAAAGAUAGAUACCACUGAGGCUGGAGAGAUGUCUCAAGGGUUUAGUGUGUGUUGUGUAUUUUCUAUUACCCCAGCACCUGUGCCAGGUGGCUCACAACUGUGUGUAACUCUAGGUCCAGAAAAUCUGAAGCCUCUGGCCCCAGUAGGCCCCUGCACACAUGUGCACAGACACACAUAUGGAUAUAAUUCUAAGAAAUAGAAAAUACUUUUUUGAAAAGGCUAGACACUCCCUUGGAGAAAAAGAAAAUGUAUGACAAGCAAAUAGAACUAAAGACAAGCAGGUGUAACUAUUCUAAUAUCUGACAAAAUAGACUUCAAAUCAGAGAUAAUGACAGCUACACGAUACCCUCCUAGAGGACAAUCUAUCAAGAGGAUAUCAGAGUUCUGAACAUAUAAAUACAAGUACACCAAGUUUCAUAAAAUAAAUGCUAUUUCUCCAAGAAAUGAGUCAUUGAAACAAAAAAAAAAUGAUGUAAUAAAUUAUAUGGACCUAACAGAUACUUAAAGAAGUUUGACCCAGAGGCAGAAGAGAUGGCCUACCAAUUGCAGAGGACCCAGACUUGGUUCCCAGCACCCCAUGAUAGGUCACAACCAUCAGUAAUUCCAGUUCCAAGUGAUCUUACACUCUCUGGAGACCCCCAUAAAUACCAGGAAUGCACAUGACCCACUUACAUACAUGCAGGCAAAACAUUCAGACACAUAAAAUAAAAAUAAAUCAUUUUUUAAAAGAAGAAAUUUUACCCAAGCACUAAGAAAAUACAUCCUUCUCAGGAGCACAUGGAGUGUUCUCUAACAUAGAUCACAUUUGUAGGAAGGAAAGCAAGCCUUAACAAACAUAGUACAAUUGAAAUAAUAUCCUGUGUUCUCACUGGUCACAAUGAACCAAGGCUAAAUAUCCACAGCAGUAGGAAUGGCACAAGGUACUCAUGGAAACUAGACAGCACGAACACACACACACACAAUGAUAAACAAAUCAAGAAAUAAAAUAAUUCCUAUAAUUGAAUGAAAAUGAGUAUACAAUAUGCCAAAUAAGUGGGAAAAAAUAAAAGCAAUCUUAGAAGAAAAGCCUAUAGAAUUCAGUGCCCACAUAAAGAAUUAUUAGAUAGGCUGGAGAGGUGGCUCAGUGGAUAAGAGCACUGACUGCUCUUCAGGAAGUCCUGAAUUCAAAUCCCAGCAACACAUGGUGGCUCACAACCAUCUGUAAUGGGAUCCAAUACCCUCUUCUGAUGUGUCUGAAGAGAGCAACAGUAUACUCACAUUAAAUACAUAUAUAUAUAUAUAUUCGAUCUCAAAUAAAUGACUUAUGAUGCACUUUAAAACAUUCAAAAAACACAAAAGUAGUAGAUAGGAAGAUGUAAUUAAGAUAGGAAAUUCAUAAAAUAGAAGUGAAACUUAAAAAAAAACAAUAUGAAGAAUCAAUGAAAAAUUCCUUGAAAAGAUAAACAGGACCAGUAAACCCUUAGCCAAUUUCACCAAAAGUAACAAAGAUAAAACCCAAGUUAACAAAAUUAGAGGUGAAAAUGGAGACAUAACAAGAGAUACCAAUGAAAUCCAAAAAAAGGCCAUGCUUUAAAAUGUAAAUUCCUCUAAGUUAGAAAAUAUAAAAGAAAUAGAUGAAUUUCUAGAAUCUAGAAGCCUACGACCUACCCAAAAUUAGAUUAAAAUGAGAUAGGUAACUUAAACAGACCUAUACUAACAACGAGACUAACUCAGUAAAAAGUCUCCCAACCAAUUAAAACAGAAGUUUACAGCCAACAUCACAAUGAGUGGAGAAAAUCCUCAAAGUAUUCUCACUAAGAUCAGGACCAAAGUGAAUUCAUUCUCGUCACUCAUCCAAUACGGUGCUCAAAGUCUUGACCACAGCAAUAUGACAAGAGAAAGCAACAGAAAGGAUACAGGUAAGAAGAGAAGAGAUUAAAGAGUCCCUUUUUCAUAUUCCAUACAGAAGAAACCCUAAGGACUCCACCAAAAACAACUCUUAAAUCUAAUAAACAUUUUUGGCAAAGUGGCAACAUACAAAAUUAAUAUACCAUAACUGUAGCUUUUCUAAACACCAAGACAGGCACACUGAAAAAGAAAUCAGCAAAGCAAUUCCAAAAAGAAAAAGAAAAAAGAAAGAAUUCUGAAAAUGUGGGUCUCUGUGUUAAUCCUAUGACAACAGAGCCUUCCCCGAGGAGGGCUGACUGAUGCACUAAUCUAUGGGUAUAUCAGUAAGUUAUUAGGAGUCAAUUCAAAAUUAUGUUUUAGCAAUUGUGAUUGCGUACACAAGACCCAUGCAAGCCAAGCCUGACCUAGUCAAUCAUAGCACAGAGAGAGACAAGACGGACAUAGAGUCUCACCCCUAAACAAAGAGCUAUUGGCAAUUGAUAGCCACUGGGAAGGGGGGUCAGUUUUCUCUAAAAGCAUUGCCACUGGCAGAUCACCCACAUUUAAUGAAAGGCCACGUGUCCAUGAAUGUAUGGGAAGCAUAAACUCCUGAGUGAAAGGAGAAAAGAGGGUACAAGGUUAGAGAGGGAAGACAGGAGAGAGAUGGAUGUGGGAGGAGUUGGGGGAGAGCAUAGAUAUGAUCAGAACUCAUUGUGCAAUAUUAUUACAGCCC
rnacentral:lncRNA from 1 species